rnacentral:rRNA from 1 species
CCUACGGGAGGCAGCAGUGAGGCAUAUUGGUCAAUGGGCGCGAGCCUGAACCAGCCAAGUCGCGUGAGGGAAGACUGUCCUAUGGAUUGUAAACCUCUUUUGUCGGGGAGCAAAAGACGCCACGCGUGGCGUUCCGAGCGUACCCGACGAAAAAGCAUCGGCUAACGCCGUGCCAGCAUCCGCGUUAAUACGGAGGAUGCGAGCGUUAUCCGGAUUUAUUGGGUUUAAAGGGUGCGCAGGCGGAAUAUCAAGUAAGCGGUAAAAUUGGGAGGCUCAACCCCUUCGAGCCGUUGAAACUGGUUUUAGUGAGUGAGUGAGAAGGAUGCGGAAUGCGUGGUGUAGCGGUGAAAUGCAUAGAUAUCACGCAGAACUCCGAUUGCGAAGGCAGCAUACCGGCGCUCAACUGACGCGCAGGCACGAAAGUGUGGGUAUCGAACAGGAUUAGAUACCCCGGUAGUC